UUUGACGUAUAAAAUUAACCAUCAGGGAUUUUUCUGUAAACCUACAUUGUUGGAAACGCUUCACAGAUUAACUGUGUGGUUUCCUUUACUCAUAGAACUACCUGUUAGAUCUGUGGGAAAGAACUACAAGACAGAG
ensembl:snoRNA